rnacentral:rRNA from 1 species
AUUGAACGCUGGCGGCAGGCCUAACACAUGCAAGUCGAGCGAGCGGCGGACGGGUGAGUAAUGUCUGGGAAACUCCCUGAUGGAUGGGGAUAACUACUGGAAACGGUAGCUAUUACCGCAUACCAUCAGAUUUUCCCAGAUGGGAUUCGCUAGUAGGUGGGGUAAUGGCUCACCUAGGCCACGAUCCCUAGCUGGUCUGAGAGGAUGACCAGCCACACUGGAACUGAGACACGGUCCAGACUCCUACGGGAGGUAGCAGUGGGGAAUAUUGCACAAUGGGCGAAAGCCUGAUGCAGCAAUGCCGCGUGUGUGAAGAAGGCCUUCGGGUGGUAAAGCACUUUCAGCGGGGAGGCGUUACCCGCAGAAGAAGCACCGGCUAACUCCGUGCCAGCAGCCGCGGUAAUUC